GCCCGGUUAGCUCAAUCGGUAGAGCGUAAGACUCUUAAUCUUAAGGUUAGGGGUUCGACCCCCCUAUCGGGCU